rnacentral:rRNA from 1 species
GUCUAUGGCCAUACUACCCUGAACGCGCCCGAUCUCGUCUGAUCUCGGAAGCUAAGCAGGGUUGGACCUGGUUAGUACUUGGAUGGAAGACUGCCUGGGAAUACCAGGUGCUUUCGCUU